rnacentral:rRNA from 1 species
GACGGAGGGUGCAAGCGUUGUUCGGAUUGACUGGGCGUAAAGGGCGUGUAGGCGGUCGGUCAAGUCUGGUGUGAAAGCCCGGGGCUCAGCUCCGGAAGUGCAUCGGAAACUAGCUGGCUGGAGCGCGAUAGAGGAGGGCGGAAUUCCUGGUGUAGCGGUGAAAUACGUAGAUAUCAGGAGGAACACCGGCGGCGAAGGCGGCCCUCUGGAUCGUUGCUGACGCUGAGACGCGAAAGCGUGGGGAGCAAACAGG